GAUGAACGCUGGCGGCGCGCCUAACACAUGCAAGUCGAACGGCACCCCUCUCCGGAGGGAAGCGAGUGGCGAACGGCUGAGUAACACGUGGAGAACCUGCCCCCUCCCCCGGGAUAGCCGCCCGAAAGGACGGGUAAUACCGGAUACCCCGGGGUGCCGCAUGGCACCCCGGCUAAAGCCCCGACGGGAGGGGAUGGCUCCGCGGCCCAUCAGGUAGACGGCGGGGUGACGGCCCACCGUGCCGACAACGGGUAGCCGGGUUGAGAGACCGACCGGCCAGAUUGGGACUGAGACACGGCCCAGACUCCUACGGGAGGCAGCAGUGGGGAAUCUUGCGCAAUGGGGGGAACCCUGACGCAGCGACGCCGCGUGCGGGACGGAGGCCUUCGGGUCGUAAACCGCUUUCAGCAGGGAAGAGUCAAGACUGUACCUGCAGAAGAAGCCCCGGCUAACUACGUGCCAGCCGCCGCGGUAAUAC
rnacentral:rRNA from 1 species